CUGAUAUUAGGUAGCCCAAACUGAAAUUAACUAUUGAUUGCAGACUUCUGGAUUAUCUAGUGCAGGAGAAACAGAAUCAAAAUUUAGUAGAGUAAAUGUAAUGUAGUUUAAUAAA